UUAAUUAAACACAGCUGGACUCCAGGUCAGGAGCAGAACUAUCUCAAGGAGGAUCAGAAGAAAUGGACAGCAUUCUGACAUUUGAGAAUCUACCAUCAACUGCAUGAAAUCAACUCGGUUCUACCCGGAAAGAGAAGCAUUUCGGUUUUAGAUUUGAUCGUUUUUAGGAAGUUAUAGAAGAAAGUCAACACUUCAGCUGGGAAGAGUGUCACAUCCAUCUUUCCAAGCAGUGGUCGCAGAAAUGGAAAAAGAACUGAAAUCGUAGGGAAAAGAUUUACUCUUACAUAAAGGGGCCCAGCAAAAACAGAGACAUUACUAAGUGGCAGUGUGUGACCUACCGACAAGCACAAGGAAGGGAUUGAACAUGUUGAACUUGACCAUUCUCUUAAUGUUUGAGACAAAUGGGUCAGAGGGAUUGUUAAUGGAGUCAAUGUCCACACUGAAUGCAGUACUGGUCACAACAUCCAUACUGUAAGGUCCAAAAACUCUGCAAAUAUUCAGUUUGAAUUAGUCAUACAUAGCUGGUUGAUAGCACCAUUGCUUAAACAAGUGUUAAACAAAGACAAAUGUCUUUUGUGUGCUUCUUGCAAAUAUGUUGUAUACUCUUUGAAAGUAUGUGCACUUCCCUUUUAAAUUAAGCCCUAUUUAAAGGUAACAUACAUUUGAGGGAUGAUCAGAAUGACUGAGUUGCGCUGCAUUCAUGUAAAAUGUGCUACCCAAAAAUGCCAACACUAAAAAGCUAUUCUGCUGUUUUUGUUGACUACUGUUUGGUGUUCUCUGAUUGAUUAAAAUUUUAAUGUUCAUUGUGGGCCACAUUGCAGGUACAGAAGGCCUCAGAGGGCUACUUUGUUAUAAUAUUCAGUCCCUCCAAGAUUUUGCGAUCGCUCCAAUCCACGCAAAUUCAGUCAAUCUCAACUAAGUCAAUGGAUGCCAGUGUGACUGAUCGCUCUCCUGUCAAACUCAUUGCUACUCGAAUUUUCUGGCAUCCGUUCCUUUUGCCUUGGCUGCUGUCACUGCCUCAGCGUGGAGCUAGAAUUAUAUGCGGAGUUUCUGGUCAUCAAACUCCAAAAGUUACU